rnacentral:lncRNA from 1 species
UUCUCUCUACUCUCUCUCUCUAACUUUCUGUGAUUUCUCUCGUAUAAUCUCAACAUUCACAAAAACUGACUGGGAUCUUGUCAUCUUUGUCAAUAUUUAAGAUGAUCGAUGCAAACAUCAGAAACCACGAUUUUCACCGAGGGGUUCAACAAUUUUGACCUUACAUAUAUGUAAAGUAAUUUUCUGACAAAGGAAAGUAAGGAAGCAAAACUAGAAAAGACUGAGGUACUCGACAAAAAACCCUAAAGAAUUAAUAAAUAUACACAGAAAUAAAGAAAGUUUUCAAGUGUAAAGGGAACUUUUUUUUAUUGUUUUAAAAAAAGGAAAGAACAUCUUUAAACCUUUACAUCUAUAUGUUCUUAUGUGUAAUGAAGCAAAUUCGUCCACUUUACUUUGGAAAGAGAAGAGAAACUACAAACUAUAGAAAAGGAGAUAAAGUGUAGGAGGAGAGAUGACAG